UACGUAGGGGGCUAGCGUUGUCCGGAAUCAUUGGGCGUAAAGCGCGUGUAGGCGGUUCGGUAAGUCCGCUGUGAAAGUCGGGGGCUCAACCCUCGAAUGCCGGUGGAUACUGUCGGACUAGAGUACGGAAGAGGCGAGUGGAAUUCCUGGUGUAGCGGUGAAAUGCGCAGAUAUCAGGAGGAACACCAACUGCGAAGGCAGCUCGCUGGGACGUUACUGACGCUGAGACGCGAAAGCGUGGGGAGCAAACAGG
rnacentral:rRNA from 1 species